rnacentral:lncRNA from 1 species
CGAACCUGGGCCGCAUGCAUGCCAGGCUAGCGCGCUACCGCUUGAGCCACAUCCCCAGCCCCAAUAUCAUUAAGUUUAAAUACUAACCCUGUCCAAGAUUUUAAACUAAUAGUCUAAAGAAUUCUAGUUUUUUUAAAAGUAUGAAGUUUAUUUAUAUUCAAAGCAGUGGCAACCGGAAAAAAAUGAAAAACUAGUAGCAUGCAGCUUUUUGAACUAUUCAAAACUACUACUGUAUGAAAAUACUAAUGAAAUAGGUUAUUCAUAAAGUAAUGCACUACAAAUAUCUCAGAUCUUGAACGGUUUUUCAGUAGGUCCUUUAUUCCAAGGUUCAGCUUGAGCAUCCCUAAUCCAAAAUAAGAUAUGCUUCAAAAUCCAAAAUUUUUUGAGUACCACAUGACACCAAAAGUGGAAAAUUCCAUACCUGAUCUCAUAUAAUGAGUCACAGUCAAAAUUCAGGCACACAAAUUGCAGGUAGGCAUGCUAAAAAAUAUUGUAUAAAAUUGCCUACAAAAUAUGUGUAUAAGAUGUACAUGAAGGCCAGGUGCAGUGGCACACUCCUUUAAUACCAGCAACUCCAGAGGCUGAAGCAGGAGGAUCACAGUUCAAGACCAACCUUGACAACUUAGUGAGACCUGUCUCAAAACGAAAGGGAUGGGUACGUAGUGCAGUGGUAGAGUACCCUAGGUUAAAUUUCCAAAACUACAUACACCACAACAAAGAAAAAGAAUAUACAUAUAUAUAUGGUAUAUAAAUGAGAUACAUAAAUUUCAUGUUUACUGAGAUUUGACCUCCAGUUAGAAUGGCAGCAAUCAAGAAUACAAAUAAUUAUAAAUACUGGAGAGGUUGUGGAGAAAAAGGAAUACUUUUAUACUGUUGCUGGGAUUAUAAAGUAGUACAACCACUAUAGAAGUCAGUAUGGAGAUGCCUCAAAAGACUAGAAAUGGAACCAGUAUAUCACCCAGGUAUAUCACUCAUCAGUAUUUAUCCUAAAGAAUUAAAGGUCAGCAUACUAUAGUGAUACAAACAUACUCAUAUUUAUAGCAGCACAAUUCACAAUCACAAACUCUGGAACCAACCUACGUGUCAAUGGAUGAAUGGAUAAAGAAAACGUGCUAUAUAUACACAGUGGAGGUUUUUUCAGUAAUAAAGAUGAAUAAAAUUAUGUCAUUUGCAGGAAAAUGGAUGAAACUUGAGAACAUUGUGUUAAGUGAAAUAAGCCAAACUCAGGAAGUCAAAGGUCAUAUGUUUUCUCUCACAUGUGGAAGCUAGAGAGGAAAAAGGAAAAGAAAGGUGGGUCAGGCGAGAGCAAUAGAGUAGAGGAAAGGGAUUAGGAGAAUGGAGGCAGGAGGAAAAUGAGGGAAUGAUAUUGGUGAAAUUGUUAUAUCAUGUGCAUGUACAAGUAUGUAACAAAUCCCACCGUUAUGUAUAAUUAUGCACCAAUAAAAAUGUG